CUAGUAGCACACUUACUAUUGGAACAAUACAGAGAGGAUUAGCAUGACCCUUGUGUGAAAAUGACACCAAAUUAAUAAGAUGUUCCACAUUAAA
rnacentral:snRNA from 1 species